rnacentral:rRNA from 1 species
UACAGAGGUCUCAAGCGUUGUUCGGAUUCAUUGGGCGUAAAGGGUGCGUAGGCGGCGCGGUAAGUCGGGUGUGAAAUCUUGGAGCUUAACUCCGAAACUGCAUUCGAUACUGCCGUGCUUGAGGACUGGAGAGGAGAGUGGAAUUCCCGGUGUAGCAGUGAAAUGCGUAGAGAUCGGGAGGAAGACCAGUGGCGAAGGCGGGUCUCUGGACAGUUCCUGACGCUGAGGCACGAAGGCCAGGGGAGCAAACGGG